rnacentral:rRNA from 1 species
GCUCCUACGGGGCGCAGCAGUGGGGAAUAUUGCACAAUGGGGGAAACCCUGAUGCAGCAACGCCGCGUGAGUGAAGAAGUAUUUCGGUAUGUAAAGCUCUAUCAGCAGGGAAGAAGAGAGACGGUACCUGACUAAGAAGCCCCGGCUAACUACGUGCCAGCAGCCGCGGUAAUACAUAGGGAGCAAGCGUUAUCCGGAUUUAUUGGGUGUAAAGGGUGCGUAGACGGGAAAUUAAGUUAGUUGUGAAAUCCCUCGGCUUAACUGAGGAACUGCAACUAAAACUGAUUUUCUUGAGUACUGGAGAG